rnacentral:rRNA from 1 species
CCUACGGGUCGCACCAGUGGGGAAUAUUGCACAAUGGGCGCAAGCCUGAUGCAGCGACGCCGCGUGGGGGAUGAAGGCCUUCGGGUUGUAAACUCCUUUCAACCAUGACGAAGCUUUUUGUGACGGCAGUGGUAGAAGAAGCACCGGCUAACUACGUGCCAGCAGCCGCGGUAAUACGUAGGGUGCGAGCGUUGUCCGGAAUUACUGGGCGUAAAGAGCUCGUAGGUGGUUUGUCGCGUCGUCUGUGAAAUUCCGGGGCUUAACUCCGGGCGUGCAGGCGAUACGGGCAUAACUUGAGUGCUGUAGGGGAGACUGGAAUUCCUGGUGUAGCGGUGAAAUGCGCAGAUAUCAGGAGGAACACCAAUGGCGAAGGCAGGUCUCUGGGCAGUAACUGACGCUGAGGAGCGAAAGCAUGGGUAGCGAACAGGAUUAGAUACCCGUGUAGUC